UACAGAGGGGGCAAGCGUUAUUCGGAAUUAUUGGGCGUAAAGGGCGCGUAGGCGGCCUGGCAAGUGGAAGGUGAAAUCCCUCGGCUUAACCGAGGAACUGCCCUCCAAACUGCUUGGCUUGAGUCCGGGAGAGGUGAGUGGAAUUCCCAGUGUAGCGGUGAAAUUCGUAGAUAUUGGGAAGAACACCGAUGGCGAAGGCAGCCAUCUGGACCGACACUGACGCUGAGGCGCGAAAGCGUGGGGAGCAAACAGG
rnacentral:rRNA from 1 species